rnacentral:tRNA from 1 species
AUUAUUUUGGCAGACUAGUGCAAUUGAUUUAGAAUCUUUAAAUAUAUUAAUAUUAUAAGUAAUA